UGUCGUGAAGCAGCGGGAGGAAAGCGAGGGAGGAAGAAGGGGGAGUCCAGGCCCAGCCCGGCCCCCGGCCCGCGGGGAGUUGGCUCCGCGCCGCGCCCCUCCGCCCUCGCCGCUUCGCAGUCGGAGUCGGGAGGCGGCGGAGGUGGCGGCGGCGCUGCCGCCUCUGGCUAUGUAGGGGCCCCAGAGCGGGCAGAUCCGGAGGCCGCUGUCCGCCUCUGGAGCUCGGCGCCGGGGCCGGGCCCGGGGCCGGGCCCGGCGGGAUGUUUUCCAAGAAGCCGCACGGGGACGUGCGGAAAUCCACGCAGAAGGUGCUGGACACCCGCAAGGACCCACUCACCCGACUCAAGCACCUCCGCGUCCUUAUCGACAAUGCAGAAUCAAUUGAUCUCAAACAGUUUUUUGACCUACAUUUUUCACAUAUAUAUUAUGUGUUCUUCGAAAACUUUGUGACUAUUGAAGUGGGCCUUAAACAAAAAGGUCACAAGUCUCAGAGAGAAGAAUUAGAUUCUAUUCUUUUUAUUUUUGAGAAAAUUUUACAACUCCUUCCUGAAAGGAUUCAUCAGAGGUGGCAAUUUCAUAGUAUUGGGUUGAUUUUAAAGAAGCUUCUUCACACUGGAAAUUCAUUAAAGAUACGUCGAGAGGGUGUGCGUCUCUUUCUUUUGUGGCUGCAAGCACUUCAAAAUAACUGUAGUAGAGAACAAUUAUGGAUGUUUUCUUGCUUGAUUCCUGGAUUUUCAUCACCACAGUCUGAAUAUGGCCCCCGAACACUAGAUAAUCUCAUUAACCCUCCCCUUAAUGUCCAAGAAACUCAAGUGACUAUAGAAGAAAUCACUCCACUUGUUCCUCCGCAAUCAGGAGAUAAAGGACAAGAAGAUUUAACAAGCUAUUUUUUAGAAGCACUUUUGAAGUACAUGGUAAUUCAGGUUAAGAGUUUAGAAUGGAAGAACAAGGAAAACCAGGAAAAGGGAUUUUCAUUUUUAUUCUCAAAUUUUAAGAAAUACUACUUACCUUCUAUUUUCCCAAACAUCUGUAAGGAGACCAGCUUGUAUAACCCUAUACUUGAUAUACCACAAAUGAGACCAAAGCCACACUACGUAAUAGUUAAGAAAGAUGCUGAAACCAAUGAGGCAAUCUAUUGCACAAAGGAACCUUUCAUUAAGGCUCGUGUGAUUGUCAUUCGAUGGUUGGUGUCCUUCUGGCUUGAGCCAAAACCUCAUACAGGACCUCAUAUUCCUGGGAUGGAAGGUGAAAAUGUGCCAAAGAAUAUUCAGAGAGCAGCUGCUAGCAUGGCUUCAAGGGAGGACAGCAAAAAUGACAGUACUGAUAAGCAGGAUAGAAAUGCAGAACCAGAACAAUCUCAUUCCAAUACAAGUACUCUAACAGAGAGAGAACCAAGUUCUUCCAGCCUCUGCAGUAUUGAUGAAGAGCAUUUAACUGAUAUUGAAAUUGUUCGGAAAGUCUUCUCUUCUAAAAGAAACAAUGUUAAUUUUCUAACUGAGAUUUUUCGACAGGCAUUUCUGUUGCCGAUAUGUGAAGCAGCUGCCAUGAGGAAGGUGGUGAAGGUGUAUCAAGAAUGGAUUCAACAAGAAGACAAACCUUUAUUUAUGAAAGAACCUGAAGAAAUAAUGCAGUGCACAGCUGUAGAUUGUGAUGAAAAUGUUGACCAUAAUUCAUCAGAGAAAGGAAAAGAAAGAGAAGAGGAAAAAGGGAUGAACUCCAGUCAUGGAGUUAGAAAUUCCAACUGGGCAAGAAAUGGCUGUUAUGAAGACACUUUACAUAAAACAUCUGAAAUUGAUACUGAAGAGCAAAAUGUACGAGCUGGAGUGCAGUCAGUAUUGCAGGUUUUUAUAAUAAAUUCUUCAAAUAUAUUUUUUCUUGAACCUGCAAAUGAGUUUAAAUCUCUGCUGGAUGAACACACUGAUAUGUGCAAACGCGUUCUCAAUAUCUACCGCCACAUGGUAGUCCAAGUGACUAUGGACAAGAAGACAUGGGAGCAGAUGCUGCUUGUGCUGCUCAGGGUAACUGAAUCUGUGCUGAAAAUACCACCCCAAACUUUCUUGCAGUAUCAAGGAAGAAAAACCUCCACUUUAGCUGGAAGACUUGCAGGACCUCUUUUCCAGACUCUUAUAGUAGCUUGGAUCAAAGCAAAUCUAAAUGUGUACAUUUCUCGAGAACUUUGGGAUGACUUGCUGUCUGUGAUGUCAUCACUGACAUACUGGGAAGAGCUGGCCACUGAGUGGUCACUGACAAUGGAGACACUUACUAAAGUAUUAGCUAGAAACUUGUAUAGCCUGGACCUCAGUGACCUGCCACUGGAUAAAUUAAGUGAGCAGAAACAGAAAAAACACAAAGGCAAAGGCGUUGGGCAUGAAUUCCCAAAGUCUUCUGUUGAUAAGUCCUUUUCUAGAGGCUGGAGCCGUGACCAGCCUGGACAGGCGCCCAUGAGACAGCGCAGCGCUACAACCACCGGCUCUCCGGGAACGGAAAAGGCGAGGAGCAUAGUACGGCAGAAAACAGUUGCCAUGAGAAGCCGAUCCAUUGGUGAAUGUGCUCUGCCAUCGGCCUAUAUACGCAGUGCUAAAAGUGCUCCUGUUCUGAUCCAUACUUCCAAACCCUUCUUGCCUGAUAUUGUUCUCACUCCCCUUUCUGAUGAGCUUUCAGACAUUGACGAUGCUCAAAUUCUUCCACGUCCACCUCGAGUCAGACAUUUUUCUCAGAGUGAGGAUGCUCCAAGUGAAGUUUUUGGUGCAUUAAAUGAAGAACAGCCACUGCCACGAAGCAGCAGCACCUCUGACAUCCUGGAACCAUUCGCAGUUGAACGAGCCAAAGGUGCAGUUCCUGUCAUUGACAGUUCAUCCCAUCAUGCUCCAAGCUUACAGAAUUCCACUGAGACCUCUUCAAUGCAUAGAUCCACUGAAAGUCAUAUCACUGAUACAAAUAGCAGAGAGUCCUCCUUGGAAGUUGGGGAUAGUAUUUAUGACCAUCUUUGUCAUUUAAUAGGGCCGGUAGAAUUUGCAAACACUGCCUUUGAACAAAACCAGUAUGUUGACCUUGAAGGUGAAGAUGAUCUCCUUUCCUCUCUGAGAGAAUAUCUUAUUAAAGAAAAAGAAGAACUUUGCGGUAACUUUCAGAUAGAUAAAUCUGAGGCUUCUGCUCAUGAAGUUGAUACAUCAGUAAGUAGGAACGAUAGAUUACCACUGGAUGGAUUAGAAAAUAGAGAUCAGACUGGUCAAUGCACAACUAGCAACACUGUUGCAGAAAAAGCCAAUAACACAGAGCUGCAACUAGAACAAAACCCAAGUGGCUUUAUGAGUAGUAUUGCACCUACUCAAGUAGACUUUUUUACAAAAAAUCAAGCGCUCAAUAAAGCCAGACAGUUAGAUAUUGAUAAACAAUAUGAAAGCGUGUUUGAUCAUGGGUCCAGUAGUCCUAGCAGCAAAGAAGGGAAGAGAUAUCUAUAUAGGCAAGCAGCCACUGAAACUGAUGUAGAUUUAGUUGUGGAAGCACCGGUAGCUGAAAAGCAUAAAAGUGUCCAGUUUAAUGAGAAAGUGACCAACUCGCGUAUUGUCCACGCAAAGAAAAUUCUUCCUAAAGCACAAGUUGAUCCUCAAAUGCCUCACAUCACAGGCACAAGCAAACUGGCACCAGCUAAAAGAAGUAUAUCUGAAACUGUAACUCAUAGGGCCAAAAUCAUGAAAAUAACAACUAAAAAAAGAAACAGCGUUCAUGUUACUUUUAGGCCAUCUACAGAAUCGGUUCAGUUUUACAAUCCUCUUGAGAACAAAGAGGCUGCUUGGAAAGCAAGACUUCGUAAACUUGGUGGCUUCAGUAGCAGCAGUAGUGGUAGCAGCAACAGCAGUACCAGUGCAAGCAGUAGCUCAUCAGCUGCCACAGAGCUGGUUAGACCUGGAAUAUAUAGGCAUCUAGAGGCAGUCAACACUGCUUCAGCUGGCAGCAAGCAAGUUAAGGAAUCUGCAGAAACUCAAGCAGCUGUGUUGCAGAAAGAAGGUCUUGCCAUUAGUCAGUUCCAAUGUCGUAGUGCCUUUAGAACAUCAGGUCAGGAGUCGGCACAACAGCAGGGCUCCCUGGGUGGUGUUUAUAAAACUGUUGUCCAUGCUCUUUCGAAGCCGAAGGCAAAUGUUUCCCCACAGAGGCAGAACAGAAUGCCAGCAGAGGCUCCACUGAGGGAUCUGUACAGUCAUGUAAUGGGCUAUUUUGGAAGGAAAGCUGCAGCUAAUAGAGAGGACAUGAGUCAAAAGCUGCACCCUAUUGAUAGUGAUAUUGGCAGUAGCAAUACAAAUGUUCCUGACCUCAUGGAUGAAUUUAUAGCUGAGAGACUCCGCAGUGGUAAUGCACUGAAUGUGACAAGAAGAGGAAGCAGCCCUGGCAGCCUGGAAGUUCCUAAAGACCUUCCUGAUAUAUUGAACAAGCAGAACCAGAUGCGUCCUGUGGAUGACCCAGGUGUGCCUUCCGAGUGGACAUCGCCUGCCAGCGCGGGCAGCAGUGACCUCAUCAGCUCAGACAGCCACUCCGACUCCUUCAGCGCCUUCCAGUAUGAGAGCCGCAAAUUUGAAAAUUUCAACUUUGGCACUGAGGCAGGGACACCAGCUUCUACUGACGUUGAUGCAAUUUCAGGACAGCAACAAAGUGCCGAGGAACAAGAAGUGGCCAGUCUAACUACACUCCACAUAGAUUCAGAAACAAGUAGUCUCAAUCAGCAACCAUUGUCUGCUGAAGCUGCCACUAUUACUGGCUCUGAAAGUGCUUCUCCAAUCCAAUCAGCUCUUGGAUCCCGAUCACAGACACCCUCUCCUGCCACCCUGCAUGCAGAUCAUAUUGAGCAGAAGGAUCUGCAACUGGAUGAGAAGCUCCACCACUCUGUUUUGCAGACGCCAGAUGACCUAGAAACUAGUGAAUUCCCCUCAGAAUGUUGCAGUGUGAUGGCUGGGGGAACACUUACAGGAUGGCACGCAGAUGUUGCUACUGUGAUGUGGAGGAGGAUGCUAGGAAUUCUGGGAGAUGUCAACAGCAUAAUGGAUCCAGAGAUUCAUGCCCAGGUUUUUGAUUAUCUAUGUGAACUGUGGCAGAAUCUGGCCAAGAUAAGAGACAAUCUUGGUAUUUCAACAGACAACCUAACUUCACCAUCUCCCCCAGUUUUAAUUCCACCACUGAGAAUUCUAACACCAUGGCUCUUCAAGGCAACAAUGCUGACUGAUAAAUACAAACAAGGAAAGCUACAUGCUUAUAAGCUUAUUUGUAAGACAAUGAAACGAAGACAAGAUGUUUCUCCAAACAGGGAUUUUUUAACUCAUUUCUACAAUAUAAUGCACUGUGGACUUCUUCAUGUUGAUCAAGAUAUUGUCAAUACAAUCAUCAAGCACUGUUCUCCUCAGUUCUUUUCACUUGGUUUACCUGGUGCUACCAUGCUUAUUAUGGAUUUCAUUGUAGCAGCAGGAAGAGUGGCUGCUUCUUCUUUCCUCAAUGCACCCAGAGUUGAAGCACAGGUUCUUUUAGGAUCUCUAGUCUGUUUUCCCAAUUUAUAUCGUGAACUACCCGCUCUUCACCCAAAUAUUCCUGACAUUGCUGUGUCUCAGUUUACAGAUGUUAAGGAACUCAUAAUUAAAACUGUGUUGAGCUCGGCAAGAGAGGAGCCAUCUGGUCCUGCACGAUGUGUUGCUCUUUGCAGCCUUGGAAUUUGGAUCUGUGAGGAGCUAGUCCAUGAAUCGCAUCAUCCUCAGAUCAAGGAAGCAUUGAAUGUGAUAUGUGUUUCUUUAAAGUUUCCAAAUAAAACAGUAGCCCAAGUUGCCUGCAGUAUGCUGAACAUGCUGAUACAUUAUGUACAUAGACUUCAACUUUAUCAAGCUGAUUCACCAUUAAGAAUUAUUCAAAUUCUGAUAGCAACUAUUACACAUCUGCUACCCAGUACAGAAGCUUCCUCUUAUGAGCAGGACAAGAGGUUGGUGGUUUCUUUACUUCUGUGCUUACUGGAUUGGAUAAUGGCCUUGCCAUUGAAGACUUUGCUGCAGCCUCUUCACACUACAGGAGCAGAAAAUGAUAAGACUGAAAGAUCCGUUCUUAAUUGUAUAUAUAAGGUUCUGCAUGGAUGUGUCUAUGGGUCUCAGUGUUUUAGCAACCCAAAAUAUUUUCCUCUAAGUCUUUCUGAUCUGGCAUGUAUGGAUUAUGAUCCUUUUAUGCAUUUAGAGAGCUUAAAGGAACCAGAACCACUGCAUUCUCCAGACUCAGAGAGGUCUUCUAAACUUCAGCCAGUCACUGAAGUGAAAACUCACAUGCAACAAGGAUUAAUUUCUGUUGCUGCUCGUACUGUGAUUACACAUCUAGUCAACCACUUAGGCCACUAUCCUAUGAGUGGAGGUCCUGCUAUGCUGACCAGUCAAGUGUGUGAAAACAAUGACAAUCCAUACAGUGAAAGUCCUGAGCUUUCUCCUGAACUUUUUGAGAACCCAAAUCUUCAAUUCUUUGUAUUAAACAAUACUUCCCUGGUGUCUUGCAUACAAAUCCAAGCAGAAGAUGACAUGCCUGGGGGAGGACUGUCUGCUGGACUUGCAUCAGCUAAUUCAAAUGUUAGAAUUAUAGUGCGUGAUCUGUCUGGCAAAUACUCAUGGGAUUCGGCCAUUUUGUAUGGACCAUCAUCUUUAUGUGGAUCUUCACAACAAACAUCUUUUGCACUUUCAUUAUCUCAGCAAGAUAAACCAGAAGAUGCUCUUUCAUCUUUUGAGCAUGUGGAGGAUGUAUCUGCAAGAGAUGGAAUUACACUCCAAGUUAAAAGGAAAUUUAGAGACACUGUACCAACAUGGGAUACAAUUAGGGAUGAAGAAGAUGCUCUUGAUGAGCUGCUGCAGUAUUUAGGUGUUACAAGCCCUGAAUGCUUACAGAGAACUGGUGUUUCACUCAACAUCCCUGCUCCUCAACCAGUCUGCAUCUCAGAAAAGCAGGAGAACGAUGUCAUCAAUGCAAUUCUGAAACAGCACACAGAAGAGAGAGAGUUUGUUGAAAAGCAUUUCAAUGAUGUAAAUAUGAGGGCUAUGGAGCAGGAUGAGCCAACCUCACAAAAGCCACAGUCAGCAUUUUACUACUGUAGAUUACUUCUCAGUAUACUAGGAAUGAAUUCAUGGGAUAAAAGAAGGAGCUUUCAUCUCCUGAAGAAAAAUGAGAAGUUACUUCGAGAACUCAGAAAUUUGGACUCAAGACAAUGCCGAGAGACACACAAGAUUGCAGUGUUUUAUGUUGCUGAGGGACAGGAAGAUAAACACUCCAUUCUUACGAAUACUGGGGGAAGUCAAGCCUAUGAGGAUUUUGUUGCUGGUCUUGGCUGGGAGGUAAAUCUCACAAACCAUUGUGGCUUUAUGGGAGGACUGCAAAAAAACAAAAGCACUGGAUUGACCACUCCAUAUUUUGCUACCUCAACAGUGGAAGUCAUGUUCCAUGUGUCAACAAGAAUGCCUUCUGAUUCAGAUGACUCUUUAACAAAAAAGCUAAGACAUUUAGGAAAUGAUGAAGUACACAUUGUCUGGUCAGAACAUACUCGAGAUUAUAGAAGAGGAAUAAUUCCAACAGAAUUUGGUGAUGUUCUUAUAGUUAUCUAUCCCAUGAAAAACCAUAUGUUCAGUAUCCAGAUAAUGAAAAAGCCUGAGGUUCCAUUUUUUGGUCCACUCUUUGAUGGUGCUAUUGUGAAUGGAAAAAUUCUGCCUAUUAUGGUUCGUGCAACAGCUAUAAAUGCAAGCCGUGCAUUGAAAUCAUUAAUCCCAUUAUACCAAAACUUUUAUGAGGAGAGAGCACGAUACCUUCAAACAAUUGUUCAACAUCAUCUAGAGCCUACAACAUUUGAAGAUUUUGCUGCUCAGGUUUUCUGCCCAGCACCUUAUCACCAUUUGCCCUCAGAGACGGAUCAUUAAAUAUCAGUUCUGUUUAUCUGAAGAAAGAAAUGCUGUGAUAUUUCUUCUCCUUCCAAAACCUCCACUAGAAAGCAUUGGCCACAUCAAGGUAAAGGGCAAAGGCUUGAAACGGAAGGUCUUUCACGCUAGCUGUGAAUGGCUUCUGCCCAGAGACUCAGCCGGGAGAAACUCCAGCAGCAGCAACAGCACAGGUGGAUGGAACAGACUUAGCCUCUCCAAUGUCUCCUCGGACUAGCAAGAGCCGCAUGUCCAUGAAACUGCGCCGCUCCUCUGGCUCAGCCAACAAGUCCUAAGUGGCAAGAUGCCUGCAGCUUUCUAGUGAAGAGCACUGGCCACCCUUCCCGCAGCGACUCACCGCGUUUUGGGUUUUCGUACUGCUCACGCUGUUCAUUCAAGGAUAAUGUCUCUCAUGUGUGUGCACCCAUGCCCUGCAUACUCCUUUUCUGUAUGUUUAUUUUAAACAGUGACACUGGAAUUUUACUUUAAUAAUUUUGCUUUGUCUUUUUUUAUCAAACUCCGGUCUGCCGGUUUUUUUUCUCUGCAGUGCAGUUUGUACCCUGCACCUUUUACCUACUUGGAUGAUUAUGGAUGAUUAACUUUGGGUUUUAACUCUGGUUGAUCUUGAGUCAACACGGAAAUGGAGACUGCAGUUGGAUUACACUAUAUUUAUUGUGCCCCAUUGCAAUUUUCUCUGUAACAAAGAAAGAAGUAUGUACAAUUUGAAAAUGAAUGUACAAUUUUAAAUUGAAGUUGCAUUUGUAAAGUCUUUGUCAAAUGUCACAAUGUUAAUGCACAAGAUGUGUACAGAUUAUUUAUGUUGAGAAUAAAAUAGUUCAAUGGCAUUUCAAGUAUCACAGAAUCCAAAUGAAAUAAUUUGCUCAUAGCACCCUUUCAUCAUAAAACGAUGUAUCAUUUCAUAAUUCUGCAGAUAAUCUAUGCCAGAAAAAAAAAUCACUGUCUUGAAAUUCUAUUUAUGCUCGGCUUCCAAAUAUUUUUAUAUUUGCUUUUCCAAGUGGUGUCAAUAGUAAAUGCCAUUGAGUUUCAUGAGUUUUAGCCAUUAUCAUUAUGGUGUUUCAUCUAGAUGUAUAUUCUUUUUUCUUACAUUUAAAAAAAAAAAACAAAACAAACCAAACAAACACUUUCCUGAUAGCAAUUCAUUGCUGUGAUGAUGAGUACUAGGAGAGAAAAGGGAACAUGCUCCGGGAGCCUGGCCUGAAAUGCUAAUAAUUUAAUAAUUUCAGCCUUGUGAGCGCAGAUUAGUACACGAGUUCCACCCACCCAGAGGUAUUUUCCUACAGAAAAUUAAAUGCUCACAUUUUGAGUCUAGUAAACAACAAAAUGCUGUUAACAAAAUGUAGCAUGGCAUCGGUACUAACUGCAUGUGUAAAUAUAUGGGCAACAAUAAAAAAAGAAAUUAUGUAUUGUCAUUCAUGUAGUAUCUACAAAUUUGUAAUGGUUGAAGAGAAGACAUGCUAUUUAAUAAUCCAAUAAAAUUAUUCUUACCA